rnacentral:rRNA from 1 species
UACGGAGGUCCCAAGCGUUGUUCGGAAUUACUGGGUGUAAAGGGUUCGUAGGCGGUGCGGCAAGUUGGGAGUGAAAUCUCUGGGCUCAACCCAGAGGCUGCUUCCAAAACUGCUGUGCUUGAGUGUGGGAGAGGUGCGUGGAAUUGCAGGUGUAGCGGUGAAAUGCGUAGAUAUCUGCAGGAACACCCGUGGCGAAAGCGGCGCACUGGACCACAACUGACGCUGAGGAACGAAAGCUAGGGGAGCAAACAGG